rnacentral:rRNA from 1 species
GUCCAGACCGUAAACGGUGGGCACUAGUUGUGGGGACCUUCCACGGUUUCUGCGACGCAGCUAACGCAUUAAGUGCCCCGCCUGGGGAGUACGAUCGCAAGAUUAAAACUCAAAGGAAUUGACGGGGCCCCGCACAAGCAGCGGAGCAUGCGGCUUAAUUCGACGCAACGCGAAGAACCUUACCAAGGCUUGACAUAUAGGGAAAAGUGGCAGAGAUGUCAUGUCCGCAAGGGCCCUAUACAGGUGGUGCAUGGUUGUCGU